AAUGAAGUGCCUGGUGGGUACAUUUCUGUCUGCUCAGCAGGAGACGCGGGAAACUGGCGUUCUACAAAGAUAUGUGGAAAAUGCUGCUGUCUUUGGAGAAGUAACACCUGCUGAGGAUGUCAUCCUCCUGGCAAGAGCAGACAUUUACAGUCCCACUUUGCUACCUUCUUUCUCUAGAGAUGGAUGGAGAGCCUGUGGACGAGGCCGUGCUUCAGGAGGGCAGCAGCCACACACUGCCCAUCUCCCGUGAAGGCACAGAGGACGUGCCAGCAGCUGGCGCUCCAGGUAGAGGCCUGCCCAGAGCUCUGUGGCUGACGCUUGGAGGUUCUGUUGUUGUGUUUUGUGUCUGUGGCCUCCUGGAGCAUUUCAUGGCAAUGUCAGAGCUCUGCUGAGAUCGCCAGGUAGGCAGGAGGCGCAGCAGUGACCACAAUUGUUCCUUCAGGUGCAGGAGGUGAAGAAGCCACCAAGGGCAUCUACAUUAAGGACGUCCCCAUGUUCUGCUUGAAAGGUGCUAUUGGUGUGUUUGUUCCCAUUCUCCUGCUAAUAAUUGUCUGCUGCAUUUGCAUCCGGCGGCGGCGGAAGAAACAACAGUGAGUUGCUCCCCCAUCCCCAUCCCAGCUCUUUAUUCCCGCUGCUCUGUGCGGUGCCGGGAGGAAGGAGAGCGGGGGGCUCCCCGUGCCCUCAGCAGUUCCUGUGUGCUGUCCACGAAUGCUGAGCACAUGAGGAUAGACAGACAGACAGACAGACACAGCUGAGAGAGGAUGGACGGUCUCAGCACCAGCGGGCUCCAUGUGGGCUAGGUGCUGCGGAGCCCCAGCACAUCACUGCUGCCCAGGCCCAAGACUGGCUGGGGGGAUUUGGGACUGCAUGAAUGACUGCAGGCAGAGAUGUAGCAAAGUGAAUACAAAACAUUGAGUGAUGUGAUGUUAUUUAAUGUAAUUGAAGAUGGAAUAACAUAAAAUAUCAUAACGUAAUGAGAUCUAAUAGAGUCCCAUGUUGUCCCAGUCCAAGGUGGUGGUGGUGGACAGCCCAGGUUUGGAGAGGUAGGGCUGGGGCCGGUGCUGGUGCCCCUGGAGCACUGCUGCUGCUGCUCUGUGUGCCACGGGGCCGGCGAGGAGCCCAGAGCUACAGGUAGCCUGAACUGUUGGCCGUUGGUUGCCUCCUGCUGCAGCACAUGGGCCGGUUUCCGCAGACGCUCCCGUUUGUGCCGAGCCCACCCAGCUUCGCCUAGCGCCGGCGUUUCUGCCCUGGAGCGUCCUGGCCAUGCGGCAGCUUCCUCUUCUUGGCUGGGCCGCUGCCAGUGCGCCGCUGGUGCCCGCUGGUGGUGCAGGCGGGCGCCGGGCUCUCGGCCAGCUCGGUGCCACCCUGGUAGUGGUUGCCUGGCACAUGGCAGGACGUGCAGCCGGGUGGCAGUGCCAGGCGGGUGAGAAGCACCCGGGGUUGCUUCUGCUGCGCCUCCUCCAUCAGAUGUGCUGUGCUGGGUGAAGGAGGUGCUGGGACAUCCGGGGGGGUCGGCACAGGCAGCUCUGGUGAUGUGCUGCAGGGCAGUAGGAAAGGCAGGCAGAGCAGCGGCCCGGGGGACUGCCUGCAGCACGAUGGAUGUGUGCACAACAGGUCGCUCCUGAUCCAGGCCUCUGCCUCUGCCUCUCCGUUUCGCUCCGUGCUGCUGGCCCAGGGAAAGUCAGGGAGCGCUGUGAUGAACGGUGGUGUUUUUCUGCUGCUCGGGACCUCUGGGCUCGGUGGCUGUGUGGCAUCGAUCCACCGCAGCAGCUCUUCCCUUUCCUGGCUGUCCAGUUCAGGCAGCAGCUCAUCGUGACCUCCUUCCUCUGCUGCAGUGUCAGUUCCUUCGGUCCCCCUUGUUUGGGUAUCAGCAGGGUCCUGGUUCUGCUGGGGGACCUCCUGAGGACUCGCCACUUCAGAAAAAGCAAGAACAUCCCCAGAAGGAUGAGGACAGCCUUUCCACAGGCACUCAGUGCAGACACCCCCCCGCCAGCUCUGCAGCCCCCACACUCACUGGUGUUCAGCCACGUGAGCAGGUCAUCCAUGUCCGGGAUGUUGUCCAGGAUCUCUGUGUUGGAUGCCGCUUCUGGAAAGGGAAGAAAAUCCCCGCAGGGGUAACGCCAGCUUUCCUACACCCACUGAGUGCAGACAACCCCCGCCAGCUCUGCUGCCCCCAAACUCACCGUUGUUCAUCCAAGUCAGGAGCUCAUCCAUGUCCGGCAUGUCAUCCAGGAUGUCAUCCGGGACCUCUGUUUCGGGUGCCACUUCUGGAAGAGGAAGAAAACCACCACGGGGGUCAGGGGGUCAUUGAUGUCAGUGAUGUCCUCCUGGAUGUCUGAGCUCGUUGUCGCUGCUGAAAAGCAAGAACACCCCCAGUGAGGCAGCGCCAUCUUUCCCACCGCCACCCGGUGCGGACAGCCUGCCACCCGCUCUGCAGCCCCAAACUCACCACCUGAUUCCAGCGCUGCGCUGCUGCAGAUGACUACGCUGAUUCUUUUCAUGCGGUUGCCUGGUCGGACUCGGCUUUUGUUCCUGAGGUGGAACCUGGAGAUGUGAGUGGAAGUGAAUGGGGUGCAGAAUCCCAGCCGGCUCCGGGGUCGGAAGCUCUAGCAGAUGGCAUGGGUAUGUGAUGGCUUUUUAAUUGCUUUGCGAGCUGCCAGCUCGCAGCCCUAAUGUCAGCCAGGCCUGCAGGAGCGGGAGCACAGAGCUGCACGCGCGCGCCCUGUCCCUGCACCAUCCCCGGGUACCACCUGCUCCUCAGCUGUGCCGUCACGCAGUGACACAGCUUGUGGUGCACGACGGAAAGCUCUCGUGGUUCCUUGUUGCAGAACUGCCUCCAGAGAGGGCCGUGCCAAACGCGCAGCUGCCUCCCGCGCAGGAGCCCCGCUGGCCUCCCAGGGGUCCUGCGAGACAGACAGAGAAACCGGGACGAGGAAGAUAUUCGCCGCGGUUUGCUCCUGUCCUGAAGGCAGUGACGGGGGAGAAUGAAGUGCCUGGUGGGUACAUUUCUGUCUGCUCACCGGGAGACUCGGGAAACUGGCGUUCUACAAAGAUAUGAGCAGACAUUUACAGUCCCACUUUGCUGCCUUCUUUCUCUAGAGGUCGAUGGAGAGCCUGUGGACGAGGCCGUGCUUCAGGAGGGCAGCAGCCACACACUGCCCAUCUCCCGUGAAGGCACAGAGGACGUGCCAGCAGCUGGCGCUCCAGGUAGAGGCCUGCCCAGAGCUCUGUGGCUGACGCUUGAGGUUCUGUUGUUGUGUUUUGUGUCUGUGGCCUCCUGGAGCAUUUCAUGGCAAUGUCAGAGCUCUGCUGAGAUCGCCAGGUAGGCAGGAGGCGCAGCAGUGACCACAAUUGUUC